UACGUAGGGUGCGAGCGUUAAUCGGAAUUACUGGGCGUAAAGCGUGCGCAGGCGGUUCGUUAAGACAGAUGUGAAAAUCCCCGGGCUUAACCUGGGAACUGCAUUUGUGACUGGCGAGCUAGAGUAUGGCAGAGGGGGGUAGAAUUCCACGGUGUAGCAGUGAAAUGCGUAGAGAUGUGGAGGAAUACCGAUGGCGAAGGCAGCCCCCUGGGCCAAUACUGACGCCUGCAUGACACGAA
rnacentral:rRNA from 1 species